GACGAACGCUGGCGGCGUGCUUAACACAUGCAAGUCGAGCGGCGCGGCGAACGGGUGAGUAACGCGUGAGUAACUGCCCCCCUCUCUGGGAUAACAGUUGGAAACGGCUGCUAAUACCGGAUAGUGGGGGAUGACUCGCGUCCUAUCAGCUUGUUGGUGGGGUAGUGGCCUACCAAGGCGAAGACGGGUGGCCGGCCUGAGAGGGCGACCGGCCAGAUUGGGAUGAGAUACGGCCCAAACUCAUACGGGAGGCAGAAGGGGGGAAUAUUGCACAAGGGGGGAAAACAUGAUGCAGCAACGCGAGUGCGGGAGGAGGGCAUUCGGGUUGUAAACCGCUGUCAGCCAUGACGCGGUAGUGGCAGAAGAAGCACCGGCUAACUACGUGCCAGCAGCCGCGGUAAUAC
rnacentral:rRNA from 1 species